ensembl:lncRNA
GGGUGACAUUGGGUGACAUGGGGUGACACUGGGUGACACUGGGUGACGUGAGGGUGACAUUGGGUGACGUGAGGGUGACAUUGGGUGACACUGGGGUGACACUGGGUGACAAUGGGUGACGUGAGGGUGACACUGGGUGACACUGGGUGAUGUGAGGGUGACACUGGGUGACAGAGGGGUGACAAAGGGAUGACACUGGGGUGACAAAAUGGUGACAAAGAGAUGAAACCGGGUGACCAAGGGGUGACACCGGGUGACCAAGGGGUGAGACUGGGGUGACACCGGGUGACAGAGGGGUGACACCAGGUGACCAAGGGGUGACACUGGGGUGACACCGGGUGACAGAGGGGUGACCAAGGGGUGACCAAGGGGUGACAAAGGGAUGACACUGGGGUGACAGAGGGGUGCCAAAGGGGUGACAGAGGGGUGACAGAGGGGUGACACUGGGUGACCAAGGGGUGACACCGGGUGACCAAGGGGUGACAAAGGGAUGACACUGGGGUGACAGAGGGUUGACAAAGGGGUGACCAAGGGGUGACCAAGGGGUGACAAAGGGAUGACACCGGGUGACAAAGGGGUGACACUGGGGUGACAGAGGGGUGACCGAGGGGUGACAAAGGGGUGACCAAGGGGUGGCACUGGGGUGACACCGGGUGACAGAGGGGUGACAAAGGGGUGAUAGAGGGGUGACACCGGGUGACCAAGGGGUGACACUGGGGUGACACCGGGUGACAGAGGGUUGACAAAGGGGUGACCAAGGGGUGACCAAGGGGUGACACCGGGUGACAGCAGGUGACAAGAGGGGUGACACUGGGGUGACACCGGGGUGACAGAGGGGUGACA